rnacentral:rRNA from 1 species
GUGGGGAAUAUUAGGCAAUGGGCGAAAGCCUGACCUAGCAACGCCGCGUGAAGGAAGAAGGCCUUCGGGUUGUAAACUUCUUUUAUGAGGGACGAAGGACGUGACGGUACCUCAUGAAUAAGCCACGGCUAACUACGUGCCAGCAGCCGCGGUAAUACGUAGGUGGCGAGCGUUGUCCGGAUUUACUGGGUGUAAAGGGCGCGUAGGCGGGAGAGCAAGUCAGGAGUGAAAUCUAUGGGCUUAACCCAUAAAUUGCUUUUGAAACUGUUUUUCUUGAGUGAUGGAGAGGCAAGCGGAAUUCCUAGUGUAGCGGUGAAAUGCGUAGAUAUUAGGAGGAACACCAGUGGCGAAGGCGGCUUGCUGGACAUUAACUGACGCUGAUGCGCGAAAGCGUGGGGAGCAAACAGGAUUAGAAACCCUUGUAGUCC